rnacentral:lncRNA from 1 species
AAAACAGUUUCCUGGGACUGUUGUUUACUUGUAGAAGAAAAGCCGUGGAAGCUAAAAUGUGACUGCAAGGCAGAUCAUAGAAGCUGCCUUACCUUAAGGCCUCCACGGGUCUGCGGUAAGACUGGCAUCUACCUGUCCCAAACCCCUCCCAAGGCCACAGCAUUCAGCACCGAACUUAAGCGCCAGGCACAGCCUCUCCUUCCUGAUCAGUAUCAGUUCCUACCCGGGUCCCCCCAAGUAUGUCAGGAAGGGCUGCGGAAAAAAGAUGUCCCUUUAAUAAAACGUUAUCAACAUAUAUCGUACACAAA